UACGAAGGGGGCUAGCGUUGCUCGGAAUCACUGGGCUUACAGGGUGCGUAGGCGGCCUUUCAAGUCAGGUGUGAAAGCCCCCGGCUCAACCGGGGAACUGCGCUUGAAACUGAAGGGCUCGAGUCAGCUAGAGGUGCACGGAACUUCCAGUGGAGCGGUGAAAUGUGUUGAUAUUGGAAGGAACACCGAUGGCGAAGGCAGCCCCCUGGGCUGACACUGACGCUCAGGCACGAAAGCGUGGGGAGCAAACAGG
rnacentral:rRNA from 1 species